AGCCGAGGUGCCAUCACCCUCGCAAAACAGGUGGCAAAACACAACUGCCGAAGAUGCAGUUCUAGUUGCUGCCUAAAUAGGUAGCACAUCCAACCCGGCCUCACCUUGACGGGCCGGGAUUGGGUGACGAAAAGUUGAGGUGCCAUCGCCCGGACGUCGAUAGGGGCGGUGAAAGAAAACAUCGACUUGCCCGGCUAAACUCGGUCAGCAGAGGCUAGACGGGUAAGAUCAAAGAGCU
rnacentral:tmRNA from 1 species